GUGGUAACCUAACUAUCUAAUCUCUGGUCAUUGUCAAGAAUCUAUAAAUACUGAAACCACAGAAUAAAUUGCACUCUUUUUCCUAUCACACAUUGAGCUGUGUCCAUGUGAAUCAUUUUGUAUCCAACAGCAAUAGUUAGGUACUGUGUAGGUACUGUAGCUGUGAAGGGUGUUUCCCCUCAAAUGUGCUCUUUUCCUUGCUCUGCAGCAGGUACAUCAUCACAGCCAAGGUCCCAGCAGAGGGACAAAUGCUCCUGAGGACAUGGAAGCAUCUCAGCCACAGGAUCAGGGUUGCUGCUCAGCAGUGCCAAGAUGUCAUUCUGUCCCACAGCAGCAGGUGGGCUCCCCAGGCUUCCCUGUCAUGUUCUGGGUCAGCAAGGCCCAGAACUCCACACUGGAAGAAGGGAUUCUCACAGCAGCAGUUGCUUUGGGUGUGCACUCACUGGCUCCCUGGGAAGCACUACCCCAGGCAGCGGUAAUUCUCAUUUAUAUUUUAUUUUAUUUAUUAUUCUCAUUAAAUAUUUAUUAUAUUUA